AUCAGCUGUCGAAUGUUAUCACAGCUGCUGAAUGUUAUUCAAUUCUCACGCAUUAAUUUUGGAAAAAUAUACUUACUGGUUCCCGCAUAAAGUAAAGAAAAUAAACCAUUCUUAGCAAAAUGCUGCGACAAUGCGUUCCCAAGUCGCCAGUGCGCGUGCACACUAGCGCUUGUGGUGCAUUACGAAGUGCGGCGACGAACGCCACGGCCCCAGCAUCCAAAGACAAGAUUGAAGAAAUACGUGAGCGUUUAACCAAAGGACCAAAUUUCCAAGAUUUCGUACAAAAUCCGGAAUAUACACGUGAGGAGUGGACUGAUUAUGAGGGCAAAUUGCGGCGAGAGAAAGGAGAAAAUGAACGACUACGCCUGCCACCUUGGCUAAAGACCACCAUACCCAUGGGCAAAAACUUUGCAAAAAUUAAAACACAGUUGCGUGAAUUGAAAUUGGCCACGGUGUGCGAGGAGGCACGCUGUCCCAAUAUAGGCGAAUGUUGGGGAGGUGGUGAACAUGGCACCCAGACAGCCACUAUUAUGCUGAUGGGCGACACUUGUACUCGUGGUUGUCGUUUCUGCUCUGUCAAAACUGCCCGAAAGCCACCAGCACUGGAUCCCGCUGAGCCAGUAAACACAGCCAAGGCGAUUGCCUCCUGGGGUUUAGAUUACAUUGUGCUGACUUCAGUAGAUCGAGAUGAUUUACCAGAUGGUGGUUCAAAUCACAUCGCAGAAACUGUGCGUGAAAUUAAAGAGCGAAAUCCAAACAUCUUCGUUGAGUGUCUGGUGCCUGAUUUUCGUGGCGAUACGAAGUGCGUCGAAACCAUAGCCAAUAGUGGACUAGAUGUUUAUGCGCACAAUAUAGAAACUGUUGAGAAGUUAACACCAUUUGUGCGUGAUCGACGCGCUCACUACCGCCAGACGUUGACUGUGUUGCGGGAAGCGAAGCAAUUCAAUCCUAAACUCGUUACAAAGAGCUCCAUAAUGCUGGGUUUGGGUGAGACAGACGCUGAGGUUGAACAAACUAUGCUAGAUUUGCGUGAAGCUGGUGUGGAGUGCCUCACCUUGGGUCAAUAUAUGCAACCGACAAAUAAGCAUUUGAAAGUUAUUGAAUAUGUGACACCUGAAAAAUUCAAGCAUUGGGAGAAGCGUGGAAAUGAAUUAGGUUUCUUGUACACCGCGAGCGGACCACUAGUACGUAGCUCAUACAAGGCAGGCGAAUUUUUCAUUACAAGCAUCUUGAAGAGUCGACAAGAACAAACAGAGAAGGUGGUCGAAGCUGAGGAAACGAAGGGAAAUUAAAUAUAAAUUGGAAAAAAUAUACCUACUGAUAGUAUAUGGAUAGGAUGGGCGCAUUUUAAAAGCCAGCAAGGAACGUUGCAUGACCCUGAGGAACUAGUUGAGACGAGUUGGAUAGAGUGGGAAUUAUUAGAUUUGCAUUAUUAAUAACGCUAACAAAAUCUUUGUGCACUGUCUGUAGUAAGAAAAUACCAUAUACAUACUUACAUAUUAUCUUAGAUUAAAACUUAUAAUUAUUUAAAAGUGAUAUGUAGAUUGGCAUAUGUAUGUACACCUAUUCGAUAACAUAUAGUAAAAUUUGUUACGCUUGUUUGAAAAUCGUAUAAAAUUA
rnacentral:misc_RNA from 1 species